rnacentral:rRNA from 1 species
CCCUGGCUCAGAACGAACGCUGGCGGCAGGCUUAACACAUGCAAGUCGAGCGCCCCGCAAGGGGAGCGGCAGACGGGUGAGUAACGCGUGGGAAUCUACCCAACUCUACGGAAUAACUCAGGGAAACUUGUGCUAAUACCGUAUACGCCCUUCGGGGGAAAGAUUUAUCGGAGUUGGAUGAGCCCGCGUUGGAUUAGCUAGUUGGUGGGGUAAAGGCCUACCAAGGCGACGAUCCAUAGCUGGUCUGAGAGGAUGAUCAGCCACAUUGGGACUGAGACACGGCCCAAACUCCUACGGGAGGCAGCAGUGGGGAAUAUUGGACAAUGGGCGCAAGCCUGAUCCAGCCAUGCCGCGUGUGUGAUGAAGGCCUUAGGGUUGUAAAGCACUUUCACCGGAGAAGAUAAUGACGGUAUCCGGAGAAGAAGCCCGGCUAACU